GCAUUCUGCGGUCUGAAGAGGAUGAGAACCUCCGGGGGCAGGGAGGUUCGACUCGAGCGAAGCGAGAGAACGUUGCGCCAGCAACGGCCCGUAGGGCGAGCCACGCAGUGGCGAGUAAUCCUCUAUCACCGACCA
rnacentral:sRNA from 1 species